CAUAAACUACUGGUUAGCAUAAACUACUAGAAAUCAUAAAUUACUAUGUACCAUAAACUACUAUGAAUCAUAAACUACUAGGUAUCAUAAACUUCUAUUUUCUUUAAACUACUAGGUAUCAUAAACUACUAUUUACCAUAAACUACUAGGUACCAUAACCAACUAGGUACCAUAACCAACUAGGUAUCAUAAAAUACUAGGAAUUAUAAACUACUAGGUACCAUAAACCACUAGGUAUUAUAAACUACUAGGUACCAUAAACUACUAGGUACCAUAACCAACUAGGUAUCAUAAAGUACUAGGAAUUAUAAACUAGUAGGUACCAUAAACUACUAGAAAUCAUAGACUAC